rnacentral:rRNA from 1 species
UACGGAGGGUGCAAGCGUUAUCCGGAUUCACUGGGUUUAAAGGGUGCGUAGGUGGAGUGGUAAGUCAGUGGUGAAAUCUCCAAGCUUAACUUGGAACUGCCGUUGAUACUAUCAUUCUUGAAUAUCGUGGAGGUAAGCGGAAGUAUGUCAUGUAGCGGUGAAAUGCUUAGAUAUGACAUAGAACACCGAUUGCGAAGGCAGCUUGCUACACGAUCAUUGACACUGAGGCACGAAAGCGUGGGGAUCAAACAGG